rnacentral:rRNA from 1 species
UUUGAAAUCUGGCGUCUUUGGCGUCCGAGUUGUAAUUUGAAGAAGGUAUCUUUGGGCCCGGCUCUUGUCUAUGUUCCUUGGAACAGGACGUCACAGAGGGUGAGAAUCCCGUGCGAUGAGAUGACCCGGGUCUGUGUAAAGUUCCUUCGACGAGUCGAGUUGUUUGGGAAUGCAGCUCUAAGUGGGUGGUAAAUUCCAUCUAAAGCUAAAUAUUGGCGAGAGACCGAUAGCGAACAAGUACAGUGAUGGAAAGAUGAAAAGAACUUUGAAAAGAGAGUGAAAAAGUACGUGAAAUUGUUGAAAGGGAAGGGCUUGAGAUCAGACUUGGUAUUUUGCAUGCUGCUCUCUCGGGGGCGGCCGCUGCGGUUUACCGGGCCAGCAUCGGUUUGGAGCGGCAGGAUAAUGGCGGAGGAAUGUGGCACGGCUUCUGCUGUGUGUUAUAGCCUCUGACGAUACUGCCAGCCUAGACCGAGGACUGCGGUUUUUACCUAGGAUGUUGGCAUAAUGAUCUUAAGUCGCCCGUCUUGAAACACGGACCAAGGAGUCUAACGUCUAUGCGAGUGUUUGGGUGUAAAACCCGUACGCGUAAUGAAAGUGAACGAAGGUGGGGGCCCAUUAGGGUGCACCAUCGACCGAUCCUGAUGUGUUCGGAUGGAUUUGAGUAAGAGCAUAGCUGUUGGGACCCGAAAGAUGGUGAACUAUGCCUGAAUAGGUGAAGCCAGAGGAACUCUGGUGGAGGCUCGUAGCGGUUCUGACGU